UACGUAGGUGGCAAGCGUUGUCCGGAUUUACUGGGCGUAAAGAGCGCGCAGGCGGCUGGUCAAGUCCGAUGUGAAAGCUCCCGGCUUAACUGGGAAACGGCAUCGGAAACUGAUCGGCUUGAAGGUGGGAGAGGGUAGUGGAAUUCCCGGUGUAGUGGUGAAAUGCGUAGAUAUCGGGAGGAACACCAGUGGCGAAAGCGGCUUCCGUGGUCCAGCACCGACGUCAGGCACGAAAGCGUGGGGAGCAAACAGG
rnacentral:rRNA from 1 species